rnacentral:lncRNA from 1 species
AGGGUGGUGGUGUUUGGGUGGGUUAAGUUUCUUCUAAGAUGGUCUACCUGUUGGGAAACUGUUUUAUGUCUCUACCCAAAGACUGACUAUUGAGUGUCAGGAGGAAAGGGAGAGACUGCAAUGCAAUCUGUGAGCCACACCAGGCUGCCCUACCAGCGGUUGUGUGCCUAGUAGCCCCCACUCCCAGCCCGACUCAUUUCCAGCUCCUAGGGGGGUUUGUCACUUUGCUGGUUAUUGCUAUGUAUCCAUCCUGAAGUGGCAGCUCCAGUUGUGCUUCCCCAGUAAUUUCCAAGAUGCUAAUUGCCACCUGCUGAUUUCCUGUAAACACUGUACUUUACAUAUGUGAUUAAUCAGAGAGCUGUGGACUGUUCUGAGGAAGUGUGUGUGUGUGUGUGUGUGCGCACACGCGCUCAUGCAUUUCAUUACUGUAAUGGAGUUAAAUCACAGGCAAUGUUUGCUCACAAAGCUGAAUUCACAAAAUGGCAGGGAAAACACAAUUACAAGAUAUCAUAAACUGCAAGUUCACAAACUGUAUAAACAACAACCAGAGUCAGCCAACAAUUCACCAGCUAAAUUCUAGAACUGAGUAUGAGGAAGGCAGCCUCUCCAAAGGAGACUGAAUGACAGGUGCUUGUGUUCCUUGAGGAAACCAAACCUGAAAACAUUUUCAAAGGUUUUGGGGAAAGUACAUUCUCUUUAGAUCCAAGAUCAACCUUGUAGGAGUGGGCUGGUGGCUCAGUGGGUUAAGGAUCCAGGGUUGUCACUGCUGUGGCAUGGGUUCGAUCCCUGGCCCAGGAACUUCCACACUUACAAAAUUAAAAAAGAAGGAAGGAAGGAAGGGGAAAGGGAAGGGAAGGGAAGAGAAGAAGGGAGGGAAGGAAGAAGGAGGGGAGGAAAAGGAAAGAAGGAAGGAAGGAAAGGGAAGGGAAGGAAAGGAAAGAAAAAAAAGAGGAGUUCCCAUCAUGGUUCAGCAGAAACUAAUCUGACUGGUAUCCAUGAGAAUGCAGGUUCGAUCCCUGGCCUUGCUCGGUGGGUUAAGGAUCUGGCCUUGCCGUGAGCUGUGGUGUAGGUCACAGACGUGGCUCGGGUCUGGCGUGGUUGUGGCUCUGGCAUAGGGCAGCAGCAACAGCGCCAAUUAGAUCCCUAACCUGGGAACCUCCAUAUGCUACGGGUGUGAAGACAAAAAGACAAAAAGACAAAAAAAAAAAAAAAAAGAAAGAAAAGAAAGGAAGGAAGAAGGAAGAAAUCAACCUUGUGCUAAAUCCUAGCUCUUUCAAUGACUACCUGUAACAUCCAUGCAAAUUACUUGGGCCUUCAAACCUGCAUUUCCUCACCUGUAAAAUGGAGAUGAUAAUUUCUAAGUUACCUAACAUAGCAUGUAAAUGCUUAUUACAUAUAUUAGUCAGGAUUGUAUGGGUUGUAAGUGACAGAAACUUCAUUCAAAGUGGUUUCGGUAAAACAAGAAAUAUAUUGGCUCAAAAUAUGAAAAAGACCAGGGCCUCCAGCUUUUGGUCUAUGAGCUCAAAUGACGACUUUAGAACUCUAAGGCACCCUCUCCACCCUUUGGCCCUGCUUUCCUCUGUCUGGACCUCACUCUCAGGUAGCCUUAUCUUUGGCAAGCUAGUAGACGAGCCAACAGCUCCCUGCAUAUGUCUUAUCUUCUCAGCAACUACAGAACUGGGAGAGCUAGCUCCUAACUUGGGAAAUGACCCACUAGCCCAUUCUCAGAUCACAUAGUUGAGUAGGGAAGUGUCUACUCCCUUACACCUACUCAAACCCCGGAAAUACACACAUAACCAGCCACAUACACAAAGACACAGCUGGACAUCGGCCCCCCAAACCAAAUGAGAAGGCUGAAGGGCAGCCAGCCCCAUUUGACAUUGUUCAUAAGAGAAAAAAAAAAAAUUAGAAGUCCAUCAUCGGGAUCUGAGUCCCAGGACUGAUACUCAACCCUCAGUAUAAGCAGAUGUGCUGAGGGACAAGAGAGAGAAGUCUCCUCAACUCUGAGGAGCUGGUCAGCCCUUCCUGCACACGCUCACAUGGGAUGCACUGGCUUCAGUCCUAGGCCAACAGGGGAAAGGGGGUAGCUCACAGACUGGGACCCAGGCACAUAUGGCCAAGGUAAUCAUUUGCCUUUUUCUGUUUCCUCCUCUCUGAGAGCUUACUGCCUUUCCUACAAGAAAUUCUCAUAGUAUUCCAGCCAGCAGUCCUGGUCUUGAAGGUACAGGGCCCAUUGCUCUACCUAAUCACCAGCCCCUUUAUUUGGCCUUGUCCCCACAACGGCAAGAUGGGGCCCUCUGCCCCUUCCUUUCCCUUGGUCCACCUCAACUUUUCCUUUGACAUAGAGAGGGUCUUUAUUAUUUUCAGGGGGGCUUCACCUGCAGCAUAUGGAGGUUCCCAGGCUAGGGGUCAAAUUAGAGCUGUAGCCACCAGCUUAUGCCACAGCCACAGCAAUGUGGGAUCUGAGCCACAUGUGCCACCUACACUACAGGUCACAGUAAUGCUGGAUCCCCAACCCGCUGAGCAAGGCCAGGGAUUGUAUCCACAUCCUCAUGGAUACUAGCUGGAUUCAUUAACCACUGAGCCACAAUGGGAACUCCAAAGAGAGUCUUUAGAGUUUGAUAAUGUAUCAAAGUUAUCCUGUGAGAGCUGAUGCAUAUUAGCCACAGGGUUUCAUGGUCUUUAGGUAUCUUGCUCUAAAAAAUACGAGAAUCCAGGGCAAAUGGGGCUUCUCAGGACAGAUUAAAAAGAGCAGGUGUAUACAAAGGCCAGAGAGCUUACUAGAAAAGAAUGGAGGAACAGAUGCCAAGAUAAAGGGGGCUUCCUGGAGUCUACGAGAGGCAAACAUAGCCUGACUGAAAAGGAAUACACAUAAAACAGAGUGGAAAUAUCAGUAGCAGCAUCUAGACACUGGACUCCCUUCCUGACCAGCUAUGAGGAAUACUGAAGUUCUCUGCCUGGUGAAGUGAGCUUAUUCACCUUGUCACUGUGGGUUUGAGUAACAGAGUUGGAUACCAGUAUAAAGUGAUGGAAAAGAACACAGCCUUGGAUUCAGACCACCUGGAUCAGAACCCAGGAUCCUCCACUCCACAGCAAAAUCAUCUUGGGCAUGUUACUUGACUUCCCUGUGCCUCAGUGUCCUUGUUGGUAAAUGAGGAUAAUAAUGGCAUCUUCCUCCCAGGAUGACCAUGAGAAAGAAAUUAGUUCACAUCUAUAACUAGCUCCUAAAAACUGAAUCUGGCUCAUAAUAACACUGAAUACAUAUUAGCAAUUCUACAAGCAGCAACCUGGACUCCUUUCCUUCAGGGAAGUAUUCUCCAUGUCUACAGCUACAUGGUUGAUUGGGUGAUUACCCAGGGUGAGUGUUGGGUCUCUCCAUGGACUCCCCAGAAGCAAAGGUUUUUUGUUUGUUUGUUUGUUUUGCUUUGUUUUGUUUUUUUUGUCUUUUUAGGGCUGCACCCAUGGCAUAUAGAGGUUCCCAGGCUAAAGGUCGAAUAGGAGCUAUAGCUGCUGGCCUACAACACAGCUGCAGCAACACCAGAUCCAAGCUGUGUCUACACCGGUUCCUUAACCCACUGAGUGAGGCCAGGGAUCAAACCUGUGUCCUUAUGGAUGCUAGUCAGAUUCCUUUCAGCUGAGCCACGACGGGAACUCCCCCAAGGAGUUUUGAUUUCCUUACAAACUUGCUCUUGUGCAUUUGAUUUUCUGAUGGGGAGGGAUUUUUCCUCUGUUUGUCAGUCCCGGAACAAGCCCUUCUGUUGGCUGACUCUGAAAAUGGGGAAAGGUCGGCAGCACACUUUUCUUGCCUUCAGGCUAAGAAGACUCAGCACCGUCAAUUACAAGAGGUGAGCUGAGUUGGUCACAGGAGGGCAUAAAUGGACAUCAGGCUCUACUAACAAUGAGGAAGCAGCAUCACAAAGCAGGCACUGGGGUCAGUGACAGGUGCUCCCAGAACUCCAGCGGCAAAGGCUAUAGAACUUGGAAGGGUUAUCAUCCACGCAUGGAGAUGAGGAUGGAGAUUAUCUACAGCCUGGCUCAAGCAAACUUUGCUGAAGGCUUGUUUGCAGCUGUUGUAGCUCAGGGUAUCUCGUCAAGGUCAUCUUCACAUUCGGCACCUCCAACCUCCUUCUCCUUCGCCAAUGGAUCCACUCAGGGCACUCUGGUCCAUUGCCUGUACUCUACUCCCACUCACCUCCAGAAGAUUCUUUUUUCUCUAUCAAGUCAAUUCCUGCUCAUUCCUCAAGUUUAACUAAAUUUCAGUCUCCUUCAGAAAGUUUGCUUUGACCCACUUUCAAACACACUGAACUGACAGAAUCAGGUGGAAUUAUGCACUGUCUUACGGCAGCUCUUCUACCAAAGCCUUGCAGGACAGCAAAAAAAAAAAAAAAAAAAAAAAAAAUCAUUGGUUUUACCUGUAUAGCAUCCUUUUUUACUUUUUAAAAUUUUAUUGGAGCAUAAUUGACUUACAAUGUGUUCGUUUCAGGCGUAAAGCAAAGUGAAUCAGUUGUACAUAUAUCCAUUCUUUUUUUCCCCAUAGAGGUUAUUACAGAAUAUUGAGAUUUCCCCAUGCUAUACAGUAGGUCCUUGUUAGUUAUCUAUUGUACAUACAGUAGUGCUUAUAUAUUAUUCCCAUACCUACCUUUUUAUAUUAUAGUUGAUUUACAAUGGUCUGUCAAUUUCUGCUGUUCAGUAAAGUAACCCAGUUAUACAUAUUAUUUUUUUUUCUCACAUUAUCCUCCAUUACGUUCCAUCACAAGUGAUUAGAUAUAGUUCCCUGUGCUUUAGUCCUUCUUCUGGUAGCAACACCUGCUCGAUUUUUCUUUGGGAGAAAAGCCUUUCCAAAUUCUUGGUCCAUGUAGCUGCUGGAGGAGGUCAUCAAAAGGACAUGACUGCCUGUUGUCCCUGGAGCUGGACCAGGGCAAUCAGAGGCUCCUCACCCCCUUCCCCGUCCUUGGAAUGUGCCUUCUGCCCACCAGUCCCACAGGGGGAGCCGUUUCAAGGAUGCAGCCUUG